AACUAGGCAAAAUGGUACCGUAACUUCGGGAGAAGGUACGCUGCUUGGGGUGAUCGGACUUGCUCCGUGAGCUCCGGGCGGUCGAAGUGACCAGGUGGCUGCGACUGUUUAUUAAAAACACAGCACUCUGCAAACACGAAAGUGGACGUAUAGGGUGUGACGCCUGCCCGGUGCCGGAAGGUUAAUUGAUGGGGUCAGCCGCAAGGCGAAGCUCUUGAUCGAAGCCCCGGUAAACGGCGGCCGUAACAAUAACGGUCCUAAGGUAGCGAAAUUCCUUGUCGGGUAAGUUCCGACCUGCACGAAUGGCGUAACGAUGGCCACACUGUCUCCACCCGAGACUCAGUGAAAUUGAACUCGCUGUGAAGAUGCAGUGUACCCGCGGCUAGACGGAAAGACCCCGUGAACCUUUACUACAGCUUUGCACUGGACUCUGAAUCUGUUUGUGUAGGAUAGGUGGGAGGCUAUGAAGCCGGAACGCUAGUUCUGGUGGAGCCGACCUUGAAAUACCACCCUGACAUAUUUGGGGUUCUAACCCAGGCCCGUUAUCCGGGUCGGGGACAGUAUAUGGUGGGUAGUUUGACUGGGGCGGUCUCCUCCCAAAGAGUAACGGAGGAGCACGAAGGUACCCUCAGCGUGGUCGGAAAUCACGCUUUUGAGUGCAAAGGCAUAAGGGUGCUUGACUGCGAGAGCGACGGCUCGAGCAGGUGCGAAAGCAGGUCUUAGUGAUCCGGUGGUUCUGAAUGGAAGGGCCAUCGCUCAACGGAUAAAAGGUACUCCGGGGAUAACAGGCUGAUACCGCCCAAGAGUUCAUACCGACGGCGGUGUUUGGCACCUCGAUGUCGGCUCAUCACAUCCUGGGGCUGAAGCCGGUCCCAAGGGUAUGGCUGUUCGCCAUUUAAAGUGGUACGCGAGCUGGGUUUAGAACGUCGUGAGACAGUUCGGUCCCUAUCUGCCGUGGGCGUUGGAGAUUUGAGGAAAGCUGCUCCUAGUACGAGAGGACCGGAGUGGACGAACCUCUGGUGUUCGGGUUGUCACGCCAGUGGCAUUGCCCGGUAGCUACGUUCGGACGGGAUAACCGCUGAAAGCAUCUAAGCGGGAAGCCUCUUCCAAGAUGAGAUCUCCCCGGGGACUCGAUCCCCCUGAAGGGUUGUUCAAGACCAGGACGUUGAUAGGUGGGGUGUGUAAGCGCUGUGAGGCGUUGAGCUAACCCAUACUAAUUGCCCGUGCGGCUUGACC
rnacentral:rRNA from 1 species